GGGGAAUUUUCCGCAAUGGGCGCAAGCCUGACGGAGCAACGCCGCGUGAGGGAGGAAGGCCUGUGGGUCGUAAACCUCUUUUCUCCGGGAAGAAGUUCUGACGGUACCUGAGGAAUCAGCAUCGGCUAACUCCGUGCCAGCAGCCGCGGUAAGACGGAGGAUGCAAGCGUUAUCCGGAAUUAUUGGGCGUAAAGCGUCCGUAGGCGGUUGUACAAGUCUGAUGUUAAAGCCCACAGCUCAACUGUGGAUGGGCAUUGGAAACUGUGCGACUAGAGAGUGGUAGGGGUAGAGGGAAUUCCUAGUGUAGCGGUGAAAUGCGUAGAUAUUAGGAAGAACACCAGUGGCGAAGGCGCUCUACUGGGCCAUUACUGACGCUGAUGGACGAAAGCUAGGGGAGCGAAAGGGAUUAGAUACCCCUGUAGUC
rnacentral:rRNA from 1 species